CCUACGGUGGGCUGCAGUGGGGAAUAUUGGACAAUGGGCGAAAGCCUGAUCCAGCCAUGCCGCGUGUGUGAAGAAGGCCUUCGGGUUGUAAAGCACUUUCAGUGGGGAAGAAAGCCUUGGGGCUAAUACCCUCGAGGAAGGACAUCACCCACAGAAGAAGCACCGGCUAACUCCGUGCCAGCAGCCGCGGUAAUACGGAGGGUGCGAGCGUUAAUCGGAAUUACUGGGCGUAACGCGCGCGUAGGCGGUCUGAUAAGCCGGUUGUGAAAGCCCCGGGCUCAACCUGGGAACGGCAUCCGGAACUGUCAGGCUAGAGUGCAGGAGAGGAAGGUAGAAUUCCCGGUGUAGCGGUGAAAUGCGUAGAGAUCGGGAGGAAUACCAGUGGCGAAGGCGGCCUUCUGGACUGACACUGACGCUGAGGUGCGAAAGCGUGGGUAGCAAACAGGAUUAGAUACCCCAGUAGUC
rnacentral:rRNA from 1 species